rnacentral:lncRNA from 1 species
AGCGGUGAUACUUAAAUCUCAAGUCUGAGUAAAAUGAGACAACAUACCAUGUAGAUAAAUGCAGGGAUAAUAAGGUAAUUGCAGAUGCAAAGUCCCUGAGACAGGGGUGAGGCUGAGUACUAGGCACAGCCCCUAUAGUAAAGAGGACACCUGGUGGAACCAUCGUUACAGUAGCUGUGGCAGGGACAGUGGAGGUAGGACAGAACUGAGGCUAACUACUAAGGAAACAGCAGCUGCCAUGUAUUGGAUACCUGUUUUGAACACAGGUAAAUUUUCUCACUUGUCACUUAGCUCUCCUAAAUUGACACGUUACUAAAUGAAACACCAUAGAGAAGGUACUCAAAUUGAUGUCAACUCAUGGCCUUUUGUCCUUCCUAAUCUAUUGCUGUGUAGUACAUCACCCUAAGGCUCCACAUUUGCUUGUGAUGUUAAGCUGCUGUCUUGUUGGUGUAAGUCGGGAAUAUGGAUACAGGUUCUCUGCUUCGGGGUCUCUUAGCAGUCCACAGUCAAGAUGCCCACCAGGGCUGAGGUCUCAACAGAAGGCUGAACUGGGAGGGGUCUCUUUCCGAACUCGUCUACAUGCCUGUUGUCAGGAUGUCUCCUCAAGGAUGGUUGGGCUGAGGGCACCACUGGCUACUGGUUACAGACUGGACUCAGCUAGUUGUCACAUGGCUUUCUCUCCUUAACAUCAAAUCCAGUAGGAGGGAGUCUGUUACAAAAACUCAGGUUAUAAUCUCUUGUAACCUGAUCACAGACGUGCAAUGCACUUCAAGUUGAUGUGUUCUACUUGUUAGAAGCAAGACAGUCAAGUGGCAGGAAGUAGAAAAGGCUUUGGAUACCAGAAUAUGGGACCAGCAUGGAGGCUGCUUACCACAAUGUGUGUGUGUGUGUGUAUGUAUUUCCAGAAGGUUAAAAAUCUAGUUGCUUGAGUGAUGACGAAAAGGUGAGAAGCAGAUGACUAUUUAUUCAUGUUUCUUUUGUUCUCUUAGAACAUGUAAGUCCAAGUUUGAGAUACCAUUUGAACACUGAGUUGAAGGUAUCAGAGACUGAGUUGGAAGUCAUGGGUCAGGGAACAGUAGUUGAAGCCAGGAUCCUAAGAUCCCCUAAGAAGGAGAGUCAGUGGGGAAAAAAAAAAAUGUAUGAGUCUGGAGAGCUUUGUUUUGUUCCUUUUAAGGACUUAGGAACAAAAUUGCUUAAUAAAAAUGAGUUACUUGUGAAUAAAAAUGUUAAAAAACAUAAAAUAUUCAAAAAUGGAAAAUGUUAACACAUUUCUAAAAAUACAUGUAGGGCAAUUGUUUUGAAAUUAAGGUUUGGUUUACUACUCGAGAGUCCACAAGUCAAAUACUAUCCAGACUGACAUUUGAGGAAUGAAAAGUACAGAUAGAAGAGUUCAAAAAAUAGGGCAGUCCAUAGAAAAAAGCAAGAGAUUAGUCAAAAGAGCUGAUAUGCUUGAUUUAAUUUUCUACCUUGAAAACCCACAGAGCCCUAUUUAUCUGCAGCCCAUGGCUAUGUCUUCUGUCUGACAUGACCCUCUCAGAUCUGGAGUUUAUUCAGCUCCUGUUUCUUCCACUUGCUCUGAUGGCAGGUUAUCUUACUGAGAUUUUUCUCUAGGAUACAGUUAUUUUUAUUCCCACAGAUGCACAGUCAUCAGUGGUACCUGACCAAGACUACACAGAAUACAAGUAUGGACUAUGUCUGAAGGGCAAAGUUGGAGUCUCACCUAACAUUUCUCUGAACUUGAUCGACAUCACGGCCAAAUUGAGGAUUUGAAGUAAAUUACCUUAAUCCCUUGAACCUUAAAUGCUUCAUGAUUUAAAACAGAGGAAAGAUGAUGAGUGCUGGCACUAGAAUAAAGCAUGAAAAUGGAAGGGGAGGAGUGACGUUGAGCACCAGGCUGAGAUGGAGCUGGCAAGCUCUUGAAGCUCUUUGGUACUCACCCUGUCCCACCAUUCUCCUCUGCAUUUAUCCUGGGGAUUCCUCUUCGUGCUGAAGCUAAGGCAGGCUCUAUGUGUACUACACACACCCAUGCAAACACGGCACACCUUGUGACACCACCCCCAUCUCUCUCCUUCUCUUCCCCCACACUUUCCUCCCAUCACUACCCCAAAUCCCCUCUUGUGUGCCCCCCUCACAAGUGCCGGAAUCCCCACACCCAUCCCUCACACAAAUCCCCCACCUCAUGCCUUUCUCCCGUUGGUGUAUCCCCUGUAAGUGCCUCCCCCACCACACCCCAUACAGAGACACCUACACACACCCACUCUGAUACCUGCAUUCACUUAGACACCCCCACAGACACACUUUCAUAUACUCCCAUUGCACACGUGGACAUGUCUGUACAUACAUGCAUACACACGCCUACACAAAUACACAUGCCUCUUAAGGUUUAAUAUACAACUUUGGGAAGUUUGCCUAAUUCAAAACUAAUUCAAAACUACAUAUUUCAUGAAGGUAAAAAGAAUUAUGAAUAAUGCAAAUUAUACAACUAGAGCCCUUUCUUUGCUUUUACCCAUUUUAAAAGGCUAAAGUAGAAUGUACUAUAUAUCACACAUAUUCAAUAAAACUGAGCUUCUCCAGUAUGCAUUUAAAUGAGCUUUUCAGCUUCACAUAAAAAUAAGAGCUGUGAAACUACCUUGUCAGCGAUGGGUUUUAUAGAAUCCUCUGUCCAUGGGACAGUUAAUGCUCCUUGAGUUGACAUACGGAGCUAAUUUGAUGGAUGUGUGUUCAAAUGAAAUAUGUCUCAAUGAUUCACAGGCUCAGUAACACUGAUAUACUAGCUGGUUGGAUGGUAAUUCUUUUAUAUAAAUCAAAUUAUUUUUAUGAUGUUAAGUACUUAGGGACCAGCUCUGGGAAAACUUGGAAAUUGAGACGGUAAAAAUAUGUUUAUUUUAAAAGACAAAUAGCACUGCCAGUUUGAUUUGUAUUUAUUAAAGUUUAUGGGAUAAUAUUAGAUAAACCUAUAAUUUUGUGGUUACACCUAUGUUAAUAGAGAAGGAUACAUUUAUUUUGUCAUAGAAGUCUUGUGUUUAUAUGUGUCAUGAACACUGUUUAGCCUGUUCUGAGUACGAUGUUGCUACAAUUUGCAUAAAGCAGAAGUAAUCUUAACCACACAUUCUUCCUCAAGACGUUACAACUUGAAAAUGGGAAUUUUUUGGAGUUCUCAUUGCAGCUUAGCAGAAAUGAACCCAACUAGUAUCCAUAAGGACGCAGGUUUGACCCCUGGCCCCGCUCAAUGUUUUAAGGAUCUGGUGGUAUUGCGAGCUGUGGUGUAGGUCACAGACAAGGCUUGGAUCCCACACUGCUGUGGCUGUGGUAUAGGCUGGCAGCUGUAGCUCUGAUUUGAUCCCUAGCCUGGGAAUUUUCAUGUGCUGCAGGUGAGGCCCUAAAAAGCCGGAAAAAAAAAAGGGGGGGCAAAUUGAAUUUUUCAAAAAAUAACUCCUCCAUAGAACACAGGCACACACACACAAAAAAGAUGGAAUGAUUUUUCUUCUUUAGAAUUUCUUGUGGAUUUUGAGAUAUCAAAUUCCACUUAGAGACGUAACUUCAGGAGACAUUUUACUAAAUUUUCACAAAUAGAGGAGUGAAUCCGAUGAACAAACGGGAUUUAACUGAGUUAAGUGAAAUUAUGCUUCUCCUUUAUUUGGAUUGUUGGCCACUAGCCAAAGACGUAUCCAUAGUACCUGUGAUGAGCACCAAUAGAAAUCAGACUGUUUUCAUGUCAUAUAGGUGUUACAGAUCUCAAACUAUAGUUUAUAUUCAUAUCUAAAAGUUGGGGUAAUCAUCAUCCUGCCUGAACACUUGUUAUGUAAUGUAAUAAACAUAGAUUUUUACACAAUAUUUUAAAAUCCAUAUGUCUAUAUUAUUCUCUGAUGGAACCCACAGACUUUACUGGGCUGCCUAAGGGGUCUGCUGACCCAGCAUAAGAAAGAGCCCCCACUUGGAUGAAUUUGCUAGAAGGCUUUGUCAGUAGUUCCAUUAUUUGCAACAACCCAAAGUUUGACUAAAAUGUAGAAAUUAGAUUUUUCAAAACAAUGUGGGAGAGUUACUAAUCAGUAUUCAAAAAUUUUUGCUGCAGAGAACAGAAAAUGAAUGGAGAUAGAAAUAAAUAUCCUGUAGAUAAAAACCCAUAAAGAUUUACAUGUAAAUGUAAGGCUUAAAAGCAUCUCAGAGAAGAUGCAGGGGUUUCCAUUAACCAAAUUGUCCCCCAAUAGUCCUUAAAUCUUUUCUUGCACAGGGUGGCAGAAGUCAGAACGACAACUGUUAGAAAGUCAAUCGAGGGAAAAGAGAGAGCUUAACUGUCGAGAGUGGAAUCUUGAAUGAUACAAGGUAUCAUGUGUAUUACCUGUUUUAGCCUAGUUGGCAUGUAGUCACUCCGUAGAAAACAAAUGUAAUUUUGGGGGGCAUAUUAUUUCAUUCAUGUAGUGUUAAAUUGCUAUGUGAUUGCUUCUAUUGAUAUUAACUGGCUUUACAGAAAGAAGAGGAAUUAACUGAUCCAAAAAAAUCGUUUCCCACAACCAGGUUGGCAUGAUUAAACCUAGCCAAGAAGGAUGAUUUAAGACAUGGAAAUCUAUAGAGGGGUGGUAUGGGUUUUGUGUGUAGAAUAGUCAUAUAAAAUUGAAGCACAAUAAUUUGCUAUUCAAAAUAAGUUUAAAUUGUUACACUUGGGUUCAUAAUAGUAUAUUCCAUUAGUGUAUGCUUUUCAUCUGGGUAUGACAUAUUGUAGCUUUUGAAUAUUGCACAUUCAAAACAUGAACAAAGUGCAUUUUGUUGAGAAAAUGUACAAGAAACAAUGUAGACAAGAAUCUUUGCAUGACCCAUUAUGUGUCUGCUUUAGGGAAGUAAUCAUCUUUAUGCACUUAAUGCUUUAGGGAACCAAUUUGUCUAUUAAUAGCAUUAUGAUAUUUUAAUAUAAAUUCAGUUUAUAUAAAUUGUGUUCAGUGUCAAUGUUAUGAAUUAUAAGUGUGAUAUGAAUGGGAAUUAAGUAUUUCACAGUUAUGUAAAUUGUGAAGGUAAUGUUUUCCCUGGCGUGAUCCUUUCUGUCCAUUGCCUAAAUUUUUUUCUUGAUGUUUUCAGUUGUAUUAAAAACAUAUAAAUAACUGCCUUCAUUGAUACCUUUAACUAUCAUAAAACUGGUCAGUGUUAAGUAGGUUAC